CAAAACUGAGGUGCCGAAGGAUGGGCUCGCGUUGGAUUAGAUAGUUGGUGGGGUAACGGCCUACCAAGUCGACGAUCCAUAGCCGGACUGAGAGGUUGAACGGCCACAUUGGGACUGAGACACGGCCCAGACUCCUACGGGAGGCAGCAGUGGGGAAUAUUGCACAAUGGGGGAAACCCUGAUGCAGCAACGCCGCGUGAAGGAAGACGGUUUUCGGAUUGUAAACUUCUGUUCUUAGUGAAGAAUAAUGACGGUAGCUAAGGAGCAAGCCACGGCUAACUACGUGCCAGCAGCCGCGGUAAUACGUAGGUGGCAAGCGUUGUCCGGAAUUACUGGGUGUAAAGGGAGCGCAGGCGGGAAGCCAAGUCAGCUGUGAAAACUAUGGGCUUAACUUGUAGACUGCAGUUGAAACUGGUUUUCUUGAGUGAAGUAGAGGUUGGCGGAAUUCCGAGUGUAGCGGUGAAAUGCGUAGAUAUUCGGAGGAACACCGGUGGCGAAGGCGGCCAACUGGGCUUUAACUGACGCUGAGGCUCGAAAGUGUGGGGAGCAAACAGGAUUAGAUACCCUGGUAGUCCACACUGUAAACGAUGAUAACUAGGUGUGGGGGGUCUGACCCCUUCC
rnacentral:rRNA from 1 species